rnacentral:lncRNA from 1 species
GAGACGGCGCCCAACCUUCCUCUGCAGCGCCCCUACCGACCCGCGCUCCGCAGCUCCUGAGGGCUUUCGAGCCCAGAUGGUCAUCUGAGACGAGAGGUGGCGGCGAAGGAGAGUCUCGCCUGUCACGCUCCCGGAGCAGGGGCUUCAUGAGGUGGCCAUGGAAACAGCCUGGCAGACUCCCAUCUCUCCUGGUGCCAUCUCCGGAGCGGAAAGUGGAGCGCCCCGCUGGCGACCAAGGCCGCACUGAGAGCCCUGGUUUGGUCAACAGUUGGGCUCCAAGGAGCCCUGGUAUUCCUUGAACAUGCAUACCUUUCCCAGCGUGAGGGACAUGGACCGUGCCGUGCGAGGGACCCCAUCUUCUGCAGCAGGAGGGAGCAGAGAAGAGAACACAGCCACCCUCAUCAGCCAGAGUUCAAACCCUGACAGUGCCCAUGGAGAGAUCUGGUCCAAGGCACCAACCUCUUCCUGCUGGACUGAGAAAGAGCCUCCUACUGUGUCUCUCUUUACCUCAGCUUUUGCACACCUCCAAUAUAUUGUCCACUGAAGUCAGAAUAAUCUAAAAAUAAAGGCUGAUUACCUCAUGUGGUAUAAACUUACCAAUGA